rnacentral:rRNA from 1 species
UACGUAGGGGGCAAGCGUUGUCCGGAAUUAUUGGGCGUAAAGAGCUCGUAGGCGGUUCGAUAAGUCGGGUGUGAAACCCCCAGGCUCAACCUGGGGACGCCACCCGAUACUGUCGUGACUAGAGUCCAGUAGGGGAGUGUGGAAUUCCCGGUGUAGCGGUGAAAUGCGCAGAUAUCGGGAGGAACACCAGUAGCGAAGGCGGCUCGCUGGGCCAUUCCUGACGCUGAGACGCGAAAGCUAGGGGAGCGAACAGG